rnacentral:rRNA from 1 species
GUGUCAGCAGCCGCGGUAAUACAGAGGGUGCAAACGUUGCUCGGAAUUAUUGGGCGUAAAGCGCGUGUAGGCGGCUCGUUAUGUCGGCUGUGAAAGCCCAUGGCUCAACCAUGGAAGUGCAGCCGAAACUGGCGAGCUUGAGUCCUGGAGAGGGUGGCGGAAUGCCCAGUGUAGAGGUGAAAUUCGUAGAUAUUGGGUAGAACACCGGUGGCGAAGGCGGCCACCUGGACAGCGACUGACGCUAAGACGCGAAAGCGUGGGGAGCGAACAGGAUUAGAUACCCUCGUAGUCC